GACGUAGGGGGCCAGCGUUGCUCGGAAUUACUGGGCGUAAAGGGUUCGUAGGCGGUGUGGCAAGUCGGUAGUGAAAUCUCCAGGCUUAACUUGGAGGCUGCUGCCGAAACUGCCGUGCUAGAGUACGGGAGAGGCGAGUGGAAUUACAGGUGUAGCGGUGAAAUGCGUAGAUAUCUGUAGGAACACCCGUGGCGAAGGCGGCUCGCUGGAGCGUUACUGACGCUGAGGAACGAAAGCUAGGGGAGCAAACAGG
rnacentral:rRNA from 1 species